rnacentral:rRNA from 1 species
AUGUGUAUUCCGAAGGAAAAGGGGGGUAUGGGGUUUCGAGAUGUCCAGAGUUUCAACUUAGCCAUGCUGGCCAAGCAGUGUUGGAGGCUGAUUGAGCAUAAUGAGUCCCUGUGUGCAAGGGUAUUAAGAGCGAGAUACUAUCCCACUGGCGACAUAUUGAAUUGUGAACUGAAGAAGGGCUCCUCUUAUAUUUGGAGGAGCAUUUGGGCGGGCAUACAAACAUUC